CCUACGGGCGGCAGCAGUGAGGAAUAUUGGUCAAUGGGCGAGAGCCUGAACCAGCCAAGUCGCGUGAAGGAUGACGGCCCUACGGGUUGUAAACUUCUUUUGUCAGGGAGCAAUUGGGUCCACGCGUGGGCUUAGCGAGAGUACCUGAAGAAAAAGCAUCGGCUAACUCCGUGCCAGCAGCCGCGGUAAUACGGAGGAUGCGAGCGUUAUCCGGAUUUAUUGGGUUUAAAGGGUGCGCAGGCGGAAGAUCAAGUCAGCGGUAAAAUUGAGAGGCUCAACCUCUUCGAGCCGUUGAAACUGGUGUUCUUGAGUGAGUGAGAAGUAUGCGGAAUGCGUGGUGUAGCGGUGAAAUGCAUAGAUAUCACGUAGAACUCCGAUUGCGAAGGCAGCAUACCGGCGCUCAACUGACGCUCAUGCACGAAAGUGUGGGUAUCGAACAGGAUUAGAUACCCGGGUAGUC
rnacentral:rRNA from 1 species